UUAUAGUAAACUAUCUUCGAGUACUUUUUAUGGUCGUGAAGUAUUCGGCGAGUAGUGCAGUCGGAUUGUUUUUGUUGGUCGUCCGUUCGUUCGGUCGGUCAACAACAAUAUUCUGAGGCUCCUUGCUUAGUUGUGUUCUAGUAGACGUUAACACCUGAACAAUAUGUGGUGGUGAUAUUGGUGAUGGCGAGAAUCAUGCCGCUUCAAUGGGGCAGCAACCAGCAUACGCUAAUGACAGUUGGUUGAUUGAAGCCAGGGCAACGGAGUGAUGUACGUGUGGCGAUCAUUUAACGUUUAUA
rnacentral:misc_RNA from 1 species